CCUUGUAAAUGAGAUGAUCGCUCUCCGCCUAAGGCGGAGGGAGGAAAGUCCGAGCACUCCCCUUCAGCUUUAUGCGAAGAAGGGAGCAGGGUAGCAGGUAACGCCUGUCACGGGUGACCGUAGAGGUGCGAGCAGAGACGCUUUUACUUGAAAAGGUAAAAGAAGCCCUCAUCCCAACGUAGAUGGCUUAACUCCGCCAUAGGGAUAAGAAAGCGGAGGUGAAACGGCUAAAUCCUUACCUGAGUGCAAGGUCAGCGUUCCCAGCCCCAGUUUUACCGUUAGUAGACUAGCAAUUUUAAGCUUAAAAUUGCCGUCGUAAAUACACCAAACAUUAGUAGAUUGAACUUUGUAUUUGCAAUGGUAAAACUGGGGCUGGGUUCGAAAAGUUAGACCGCUUGAGGCCGACAGUGAUGCCGGUCCUAGAUAAAUGAUUGUCCCCGAGAGGGAACAGAACUCGGCUUAUGUUUUACAAGGUCGA
rnacentral:RNase_P_RNA from 2 species